GUCUCAUGUAUCUCCAGGAGAACUAUGCUGGUGGCUUCAACAUCUCUGUUCGUGUCACCAUUUCCGAUAUUGAAGCAACAAGGAGAAAUUGCAAGCCUUGUGGCAUAAACCUAAUACCCUAUCCAUUAAGCAGUGGACCAAAUUGUGGUGACCCUUUGUAUUAUAGUUUCUCAUGUGAUGAUUUAGUUGGUCAGGACCGGUGACAGGAAUUUCUUGGUUCAACCAGUCAUCACCUUUUAAGGUGAUAAACUGGUGUUUCAAUCCC